GUUUAUCAAAAACAUCGCCUCUUGCUUCAGUGAAUAAGAGGUCACGCCUGCCCUGUGACUAUAUGUUUAACGGCCGCGGUAUUUUGACCGUGCAAAGGUAGCGCAAUCACUUGUCCUUUAAAUGUGGACCUGUAUGAAUGGCAUAACGAGGGCUUAGCUGUCUCCUUUCUCAAGUCAAUGAACUUGAUCUCCCCGUGCAGAAGCGGGGAUAAAACCAUAAGACGAGAAGACCCUAUGGAGCUUUAGACAAAAGACAGCCCCUGUCAAUAAACCCCAAAUAAAGGGAAUAAACCUAGUGAACCUGUUUUAAUGUCUUUGGUUGGGGCGACCGCGGGGUAACAAAAAACCCCCAUGUGGAAUGAAAAUACCCUUUUUAAAACCAAGAGUCACCACUCUAGGAUACAGAACAUCUGACCAAUAAUGAUCCGGCUAAAGCCGAUUAACGAACCGAGUUACCCUAGGGAUAACAGCGCAAUCCUCUUUUAGAGUCCAUAUCGACAAGAGGGUUUACGACCUCGAUGUUGGAUCAGGACAUCCUAAUGGUGCAGCCGCUAUUAAAGGUUCGUUUGUUCAACGAUUAAAGUCCUACAUGAUCUGAGUUCAGA
rnacentral:rRNA from 1 species